AUGUGUUUCGUUGUUCGAGUCUUUGGUGAAGCUCCGCUCUGAUUGUGACACGGGAAAGGGGGUUGUAUAUAGUAUAUAGAGUCAUUCAUGACUCAUGUAUUUAGAUUGGAAAAAUGUAUCUUUUAUAAGGGAAUUUAUAUUGUAUAAAACGAGUUUUUAUUAAGUAAUCAUGUUAGUAUUAAUUUGUAAAGAGGAGUGUGAUACCUAGAACUAAUAUUCUAUAAAUUAAAUUGUAAUUUUCCGUUGCGUAGUUUGAAAAAGAU
rnacentral:lncRNA from 1 species